rnacentral:rRNA from 1 species
ACGGAAGGCAGCAGUGGGGAAUAUUGGGCAAUGGGCGAAAGCCUGACCCAGCAACGCUGCGUGAAGGAAGAAGGUCUUCGGAUUGUAAACUUCUUUUAUCAGGGACGAAGGAAGUGACGGUACCUGAUGAAUAAGCCACGGCUAACUACGUGCCAGCAGCCGCGGUAAUACGUAGGUGGCAAGCGUUAUCCGGAUUUACUGGGUGUAGAGGGCGCGUAGGCGGGGAUGCAAGUCAGAUGUGAAAUCCAUGGGCUUAACCCAUGAACUGCAUUUGAAACUGUAUCUCUUGAGUGUCGGAGAGGUAGAUGGAAUUCCUAGUGUAGCGGUGAAAUGCGUAGAUAUUAGAAGGAACACCGGUGGCGAAGGCGAUCUACUGGACGAUAACUGACGCUGAGGCGCGAAAGCGUGGGGAGCAAACAGGAUUAGAUACCCUGGUA